AGAGGAUGGACAAAUGUCAGUAUAAUGCAGGUCAAUACAAUAAACACACACUACAGCAUAAAAACAAUGAUCUAAACUGUCACUGGAAGUGUCAUUAGAAGUUGAAAUCUUUGAGCAGAGUGUAUUUAAUGCAUAUGUUGUCUCAUUGUUCUCUUGCAUGUAUACUACAUAUCAUCAGCAGAACAAUCAACAUUUAUUAUUCAACAGCGCAUAACUUGACCACAAUGUGAUAAAUAUAGAAAAACAAAAGGUCCAAAACUAGAGCCUUGGGGAACUCCAUAUAAAAAAAGCUGAUCUUGUUACUCUUUGUUGAUUUGAUUGUUCAGACAGGUAUGGUUUAAGUUUGAGACAGCCAGACUAAUAAAUGUCAAAAGUGUUUUACUCUUAGAGGAUGGAAAAACCUCAAAAGGCCCACCUGUGGCCCAUUAUCCUUGUAAAUCUCAAGUUACAUCAGGAUAGGCGUCAUGAAACUUGCAAAUCAAUAUGCAGACCCGUGAUGAAUCUACUGUAACGACAAACAAAUGGGAGAAGCUAAAAGAAAUUAGUGACCUUUUCUUUUGAAUUAUCUGUGGACAUUCAUUUAGUUAAAACAUUUAAAAUAAUUGCAAUGGAGACGGAAUAAAUGUCUGCUUAAGCAAACAGUAAGUGUUCAAGAAAUGUUCCUUUAAGUCCACCAAAUCUGUUUUAAAAUGAUCACCUGACAUACCAGCAGUAAAGGGGAUAUUGUACCAUAAUUAGUUGUGUGUCUCAACUGUGUACAACAUUUAAGUACGACUUUCAUCAAUCCUGGUAGGAAUAUUCCUACGAUGUGACUGUCUCCAGACAGUUAACUUUUUAAUUUUUGGAGCAAAUCAGUCAAAGGUCAAGGGCAAAUAUAUAGUGUUAAAAAAUCAUUUUCCAGGAUGUCUGCACAACCAACUGGGAAAUCCUAUAAUUGAUUGGCAAAUCAUUUAUGAUGACAUGGUAUGUGUGACAUUAUGAUAGAGUCAGAAAGACAUCACAAAAUGAUGUCAUUAUUUGAAGAAAUAAAUGAUUUUACACAAUUAUCUCCGCAAUCCACAACUAAUAAUGUGUCAUUAUGUGAUAUAAAUGAUGUCAAUACAAUGUAGACACCAUGGCACUAUUAUAAUUGAAUUGAUUGCAAAAAUACAUAAAAACAUAUUGCAAAUAUACAACCGCUAUCUACCACCCUCCUCUCCAAAUACCGAAAUGUCCACAUCAGUCAACCAAUAAUCUCCAUUUACAAUAAACAAAAGGUGGCUCAGCACUUCAGUGCCGUCCCUGUGGAGUGACCAGUCCAAAACACUGAUUUGUCCAAACUGAUUGUUCUUUGAUGAGACAUGCAACCUGUUAUGACUUUGUUCCAAACUACUGCAUUGCACAGCAUUAUAUUGACGUUGUUGAUGCAUUGUGUCCAUCCUCUGCAGGUGAGGUAAUCAGCUGCUGUGGAGUCUGAUAUAAGUGGGCAUAGAAAAUGAA